GUGCACCAGGCGCGAAUUUUUCACAAUGGGGGAAACCCUGAUGGAGCGACGCCGCGUGGAGGAUGAAGGCCUUUUGGUCGUAAACUCCUGUCAAACGGGAACAAGAAAGUGAUAGUACCGUUAGAGGAAGAGGCGGCUAACUCUGUGCCAGCAGCCGCGGUAAUACAGAGGCCUCAAGCGUUGUUCGGAUUCAUUGGGCGUAAAGGGUGCGUAGGUGGCUUGUUAAGUUGAAGGUGAAAUCUCGGGGCUCAACUCCGAAACUGCCUUCAAUACUGGCGAGCUCGAGGAUUGUAGAGGAGAAUGGAAUUCACGGUGUAGCAGUGAAAUGCGUAGAUAUCGUGAGGAAGACCAGUGGCGAAGGCGAUUCUCUGGGCAAUUCCUGACACUGAGGCACGAAGGCCAGGGGAGCAAACGGGAUUAGAUACCCGUGUAGU
rnacentral:rRNA from 1 species